CCUACGGGAGGCAGCAGUGGGGAAUAUUGCACAAUGGGGGAAACCCUGAUGCAGCCAUGCCGCGUGUGUGAAGAAGGCCUUCGGGUUGUAAAGCACUUUCAGUUGUGAGGAAAAGUUAGUAGUUAAUACCUGCUAGCCGUGACGUUAACAACAGAAGAAGCACCGGCUAACUCCGUGCCAGCAGCCGCGGUAAUACGGAGGGUGCGAGCGUUAAUCGGAAUUACUGGGCGUAAAGCGCACGCAGGCGGUUUGUUAAGCUAGAUGUGAAAGCCCCGGGCUCAACCUGGGACGGUCAUUUAGAACUGGCAGACUAGAGUCUUGGAGAGGGGAGUGGAAUUCCAGGUGUAGCGGUGAAAUGCGUAGAUAUCUGGAGGAACAUCAGUGGCGAAGGCGACUCCCUGGCUCAAAGACUGACGCUCAUGUGCGAAAGUGUGGGUAGCGAACAGGAUUAGAUACCCCUGGUAG
rnacentral:rRNA from 1 species